CACGUAGGGGGCAAGCGUUGUCCGGAUUUAUUGGGCGUAAAGAGCUCGUAGGCGGUUUCGUAAGUCGGAUGUGAAAACUCCAGGCUCAACUUGGAGACGCCAUUCGAUACUGCGAUGACUUGAGUCCGGUAGGGGAGCGUGGAAUUCCUGGUGUAGCGGUGAAAUGCGCAGAUAUCAGGAGGAACACCGGCGGCGAAGGCGGCACUCUGGGCCGGUACUGACGCUGAGGAGCGAAAGCGUGGGUAGCAAACAGG
rnacentral:rRNA from 1 species